UACGAAGGGGCUAGCGUUGCUCGGAAUCACUGGGCGUAAAGCGCACGUAGGCGAUUGCUAAGUCAGGGGUGAAAUCCUGGAGCUCAACCUCCAGAACUGCCUUUGAUACUGGCGAUCUUGAGUCCGGGAGAGGUGGAGUGGAACUGCGAGUGUAGAGGUGAAAUUCGUAGAUAUUCGCAAGAACACCAGUGGCGAAGGCGGACUCACUGGCCCGGUACUGACGCUGAGGUGCGAAAGCGUGGGAGCAACAGG
rnacentral:rRNA from 1 species